CAUAUCCAUUUUCUGCUCUCCACCCAGGUCUUGUUCCAGGGCGAGAUUGGACUCCCCAUCCUGUGCGUGGGCUCUGUGUGGAAGAGCUGGGAGCUGCUGAAGGAAGGUUUUCUUUUGGCGCUGACCCAGGGCAGAGAGAUCCAGGCUCAGAACUUCUUCUCCAGCUUCACCCUGAUGAAGCUGAGGCACUCCUCCGCUCUGGGUGGGGCCAGCCUAGGGGCCAGGCACAUCGGGCACCUCCUCCCCAUGGACUAUAGCGCCAAUGCCAUUGCCUUCUAUUCCCACACCUUCUCCUAGGGGGCUGGUCCUGGCUCCACCCACUCCAAGCUCAGUGGACACUGGGUCUGGAAGGAAGGAGUCUUUUGCUUCCUUUCUCCUUUUUAGAAAAACAAACAUAGAAGAAAAUAAACGCACUUUAUCCACU
rnacentral:sRNA from 1 species